UGUAUAAGUCUAACAGAGAUUUAUACUGAACAUUGUCAAUUUCCACCUCCUUUUUUAAUAUUCAGAUAUGGACCUUGAUAGCAGGCUAUCUGUUAACUGUGUUAUUUAAAUGGAACCAAAGCACUGAGCGUUACCUGAGAGCAAUCUCGGUUCCUGUCUGGAUUGUGCUGCUCUUUCAUUUGGCUUCUGCAGCAGGGUCUUGGAGAAUUCCACUGGUUGUACUGAUAAUUAUCUUAAUGACCGUAGGUUUGCUUCAUGAGCAAUCAAAUGGAAAAGAGCCUCCAGAGGCACAACUUCCUGGUCAGGUAAUUUCCAUUGCAGCAUCUGCAGUCGCUAUGGUAAUCUCGGUUACAGCUUAUGAAUCAAGUAAUGAAGAUCAUCCAUUACAAACUUCAGGAAUUACAGAAAGUAAUGAUCCCUCAUCAGCUUCAUCCAAUGCGAACAGCAGGCAGAGACUUGAGAUUGAAAGACUUCCUAAAAAGAAGAAAGCCAGUGACAUCUACUUUGUUCUGCUUGCAUGGAGCAUCGUAAUAGUCCAGAUCUGGUUUAAUUUCUGGAUAAUUCAAUUGCUGCCCUUACCUA